AGCAUCAACAAGGGAGUUGAGGGAAAAGCUACCAACCUCCACCUUCCUGCAGGCCACAACAGCAGGUGUGCCUAUUUUCAGAGGAAUAAUGCUGCAGGAAAUGCAUGCCUGUACAACUGUGGAUGACUUCUUCCAAAUCACGUCUAGACUCCUGAUGGCUCAGAUCCACCACAGCUUCCCACAGAUCCCUGCUUCUUCCAUGUUAGGCCGCUUCUCCAGACUCUGUGUUCCUCAUGAAGACAGCAUCACAGUGUGCUUCAGAAAGGCAGAUGGAAACCAAGCUCAACACGAGAAGCUCACAUUCCCUAGGCAGGAAGAGCAAGAACUUGGAGCAUACUGGAUGGAGGUAUAAAAUUUCUUUGUUAUACAGGCAGAUCUUAGAAAGGGAAGAUAGAAUUUAUUGUUGCUAUUAAAAUAGUGGUCGGUGCUCUUGAAGGUAACUAUGAGUUGUAUUCUUAAAUAACUUCAAUAAUUAUGGCAGUAAUUAGCACAGGUAGGCCUAUAGGAAAGCAUAAACAUGGAAGUAGAUAAAUAUACUGGCAACUACAUCAAUAAAGCAGUCUGCAAGCAUAAACUGCUAUAUAAAUGCUAAUUAAUUACAUAAGUAGGCAUACAGGAUGGAACGGUUAUUCAUAGGACUGCAAAGAUAAACAAUUCACACAAACACAGCACACGCAUUUGGGAGCAGGCUUCUCCACAUCUCCCAUCUGCAGCCUCCUGAGGUUCCAAGCAAACUGUCAGGAAGGCUGAAGGCUUCAACUUCUGCUAUGCAGCCCAACAACCAGUAGCCACGUGCCUACCGAGCACUUCAAAUGUUGCUAGUCCCAAAUGAACGUGCUGAGUGCAAAGCGGACACCAGGUUAUACAUGCUUGGUUUUAGUAUCUUAAUAAUACCUUGUAUUGACUGAAAAUGGAAAUAACAAUAUUUUGGAUAUUUUUGUUAACAAAGUAUGCUACUGAAACAGAUUUUACCUAUCUCUGUUUCAAUGUAGCUACUGGUGCUGCUCAGAACUAUUGAACCUAAGUUUGCUGAAGCAAUAGAGGAAGUCUGAGACGAAGUGUGCCCCUCCCAGGCUGUCCUCUGCCACUGUACCCUAUCUGCCUACGGACCUGUACAGUGGGAUAAAUCAAAGUUGCUCCAUGCUCUGAUGGACAGUGGUGAACGAAAGGAUCAGGCAAUCCCAUUAGCUUGGGAAAAACAGCCUUUGAUACCAGACACACUGAAAUCAAGGGGUUCAAGCUUGCUAGGAUAAUUGGGGUACUUCUCUGCAAAGCUAAAGGAAAUCAAACUACAAAGUCUCUGACCACUGGACAUGCCAGCUAGUUAUUUAUGAGGGGAGAAGAUGGUGUGGACAGAAAGAAGGCAUGGGAGAUAGGAGAACUUUGGGGUCAGUUUGCCUUCAGAUUUAUUCUACUUGCUGGUCACCUAUGCGUCCAGAAUGAAGAAUAUUUGCAAGAAUUCAUUCAGGUGGCAAGUUAUUUGGUAACUUAUUAGAUGAUAAUACAUAGAUGAAAACUGCUACAUUGUUUAGUAUAAAAUAAGUGACAACUGUGAGAUCAACUCUAGUUGAUAAGCAUAUUAGCAUAACUCAAGUUAGGAUAUUUAGUCCUGUUUGAGCGAGUUCCUUAAAACACUUGAAUUCUUAUUUGCGUAUUGUUUUCAUAAACUCACUCAAUAAGUCCAAAAGGCUGUAAUAUCAAGAAAGCAAGAUUAGCUCCAUUAAGUUAAUUACUGCAGCACCCUACAACUGUGUGCAAAUAUAAUAUGCCAAUGUCACUGUAUUUGAAAAUUAUAACAGAUUACCAGGCCAUUCAGAACUGAAUAUACAGAUUGCAUAGAACCAGCAGCAUGCAUGCUCCUUUUCAAACCAGGGCUCCUAUGGGGGCACUGAGCACAGAAGAGUCUUCUUGAAAGUCCUCCCUUUUCCCAUGAUGCUUAUCUUCCAGAGCCCCUAAUGUUCAUCCAACUCAGCUUCACCCUAAGGAGACGUCGAAGACUUGAAGGAAAUCAGUUCUCCAAGGUGAUAAGGCACUCAAGGCUGGCCCAUGACAAGAAAAUAUUCCUGCUCAUGUCCCCUUUCACUAUUGUUGAUACAGGGGCUGAAUGCAACUCCAUAUCAUAGGACCAGCCACCAAAAUAUCACAAGUAGAGCUAGUAAACUACAGAAUAUAAUCCCUCACCCUCCUUGGACCAGAGGAGUAACUUCCAAAUAAGCCAGCUAGCUAACUUCAAUGCCAGACAGCUUGUAUUUCUCAGGGUGCCCAGAAUGCAAUGCAGAAUGAGAUACAAGCUCUGGAGGGAUACAUGCAGAUGGUCUGUGGAAACCCAGGCAGAAGAGUGCCAGAGAUGAGGCCUCUAACCUGUGGCCCAGCUGGGCCUCAGAGCCAGAAUCUACAGGAGUUCUCCUCCUGCUCUGAUUCCUAGCCCUGGGAAUCUUUCCUGAACUGCAGCAUGAUCCAGUACAAUGGACACACAACCCUACUUCCCUCCAAUAAUAACUAUUACUCAGGACAAGGCAGAGAUCUGGGUCUCAGGGAAUAGCAAAGGAGCAUGAGGGGCUCCUUUCUUUGGUUUGUUGAAGUCUUAUCACUGCCCUAAUAUCUCCUCCAUCACUUAUACACACAUACACACACAUGUUUGCACACACACAUAUGCACACACACACACUUACAUACACUUAUAUACACAUUCAUGCCAUACACAUAUAGUCACAUAAACUCAUACACACAUAUACCCCAUACACACACACAAUCACAUACAAUCAUAUACACAUUAUAUCCUAUACAUACAAACACAUUCACAUACACUCAUAUACACAUAUACCUCAUACAUAGACACACAGACAAAGACACACACACACACACACACACACACACACACACACACACACGCGUGGACAAUGCUAUGGAUGCAGUCAGGAAUCGCCCAUGUGGCAUAGUAAUCACUCCCUUUUCUCUCAUUUGUUUGUUUGUUUGUUUUGAAUCACUAGAACUCUACUGAUUUACAUGUUGUUUUCAUAAAUUUGCAUAGUGCAUUCAAGAGGCUCUGUCUCUCCAGCAACCCUCACUGCCAUGGAGAUGUGGCUGCAAAGCAUACAAAGAAAGCCUUUAUUUCCGCAAACAUUAUUACAAUGAAGCUUUUAAAUGCUACAGAACAUAGAAGGAUUUUCUUUUAAUUAAAGUACCAGUGUGAGAAAUUUUUAUAAAGCCAUCCCAUUCUAAUUGCGGAAACUGGGCUGCUUGGAACCCUGAGAAUGGGUGACCAUGGGAGGCUCGAAGUGUCCUUCCCCAAGAAUAGUUUUAAAUGGUCUAUCUGGGACAGUCUCUAGAAAUCCUCUCAUUCUCUGUCCUCAGAGCCUCUGGAAUCCCACACUCCCGUACUUCACAAAGCCGAACUCCCAUGGUCACACUGCCAGCCAUGCUGGGGACCCCUGCCCAUCUGGCUUGGCUCAGGACUCCUCCAUCCAUAAGUGAGGUUCAGCAAGCUGUGGGAAGUGUUCAUGCACCUGUUUAGGUUUGCUUUGGGAACAAGGAUGACACUGUGCAUGACAGACCACCUGAUUCUACUCAAUCAGAAGAAUUAAGAAAAAGACUUUUUCUCAGCCCCAACAUGAAUGUGAUAUUAUGACUCAUGCUGAAAAUUAGAUCGUAUGUGCACAGCCCUAGUCGUCUCUUACAUAAUAGGCUUGACUGUGCGCAGUCCCUUCUUCCCUCCAACCAGAGUAGUCACCCAUUUCCUUUGGCAUGGUCUUUUUUUUUUUUUAACUCCUCAACCCCAAGACAUUCACAGAAGAUAUAAAAGUGGGUGUUUUUCUAGCCACUGCACAAGAAAUGGCCAAAAAUGAAUGGAAGGAACGAAAGCUUCCCCCGUGGGAAGCGCAGGGGGAGACUAAGAAGAAAAGAGAAGCCCAGAGAACAGCUUUCCUCUGAGCCUGGCUCUGUGAGCUGAUGUGGCUUGGGUAUCACAAGGUCUCUUUCUUUGCUAUGAAGUGGCAAGUCCAUGGGCUGAGAACAGGAGCCUCCUGGGGAAAACUUUAGAUUUUGACUCAUGUAAGCUGUGCCCCCUUGGCCAAUUUGAUGAGUUCUUAAAACUGAAAUAAGACCACUGUAAGGUCCCUACUUCAUGGAGUAAUUGGAUUAAACUAUGUAAUAUCCUCUUCUCUGUUUGCUGUUUUGAGACAGGCCUUGCUAUACAGCCCAGGCUAGCUUCAAACUCUUGAUGCUCCUGCCUCAGUCUUCUCUCUCUCUCUCUCUCUCUCUCUCUCUCUCUCUCUCUCUCUCUCUCUCUCUCUCUCUCUGUGUGUGUGUGUAUGUGUGUGCAUAUCAAGACUCUCACGUGGUGGUCAGGGGAUAAUCCCUAAGAGUCUUCAUCCAUUAUGAGGGUUCCAGACAUUGUACUCAGGUGGACAGGGUUGGAGGCAAGUGCCUUUACUCACUGAGUCAUUUUGCUAACCCAUUUACUAAAUAUUUUUGAGAGGAGUCCACAUUGAACAUUUUCCUCUCACAAGCUAACCUACAAACAUUCCUGGAUGUUCUGUGUUUUCAGUCUAUAUUAUAUAAACUGCAGCAUGCAGACAAACCCACUGUCCUGUCUACUUCAGACCUCUUCAGUCCCAGUAACCCUCCGCUGUGGGUUGUUAAAAUCCCAUCAAGCUGUGGGUGAGGCCACUGUCUAAGAAAAUGGAAGAGUAGAUGGUAAGGCCUGGUGCAGUGGCACAUGCCUUUAAUCUCAGCCCUCAGGAGGCAGUCAAAUCUCCACAAGUUUGAAGCUGGUCUAUAACAGCAUGUUAGUCUUUCUGAGGAUGGCUGAAUUUACUCAGUAUGGCUACUUCCAAUUGUACCCACUUUUCUACAAGACAUACCAUCAUUCUUUACGGCUGAUAAAAAUUCCAUUGUAAUAAUCACAUAUUCUUUAUCCAUUCUUUUGUUCUUGGGCACCUACAUUGAUUUCAUAAUCUAUGUAUUGUGAGUAGUGCUGCAAUAAAGGUUGGUGUGCAACAGUCUGUGAUUGGCUGACUUGGAAGGCUCCGGGUAACCAACCACCAGUGGUACAGUUGCAGAGCCUGAAUUCUAAGCCUCUGCAUUGGUCUUAACCGCUUACAUUCUGGACUUUCUUCACUUGAUACAAUUCAGAAGUCUUACUGCCAUCUAGAUGGGAAGACAGAGUCUUCUUCCCACUUGCACUGGGCAAGGGGGCUCUUUGUGUGUUUUUAAGACUUUUUGAUGGAGAGCUGAAAAAUGUCUACAAGCUGAGGGCUGCCAGUCUUGCAUCUGCUCGAAGUGAAACACAUGUUGGACGUGGCUGGAAGGAUCUUGGGUAGUCUACAAACCCACUUUCUGAUUUUAAGCAUGAGAAAAAUCAGAGGAGUGAAUGGAUUUGUCCAAGGUCACAGAGUUUCAUAUCAAAAGCCAAAAGAGGAAUCUAGAUUCCCUGACUACUAGUCCAGUGUAAAGUGAUAAAGAUAAUAGGUAGAGUACAGUGUCUGUAGAAAAAUUUACCAGGCAAAUGUCUUAAAGGCUGUACAGUGAACAAUAUAAUUUAUAAAAACUGUAAUUAUUUUAUAGAUGUCUGCACAACUAUCAAGUUGAAAUUAAUUCUACAGUCUCAAGAUUACGUAGUACUUGAAUGGUGUGCCGUUACACACUGGAGUCUGGGCAGCCAUUCCUAGCUCAUGAUUGCUUUUUCUCCUGUGGCAGAGCUCAUAAUAAGCAAGCAACUCAUCCUUGCAUUCCCAGCCACAGAGGAGUGCUAUCCAUAGAAAUAGCUGAGCACUGAGAUUAUCCAUCCCCACCAGAGGAGGCUACUUCCAGCAAGUAAAUUUCUGGCCAUCCUGAAGGACCCAGACAAGAAAGGCAGAGACAGUUAAACCUUCUGGACCCACCUAGGCCACUGUAAUCUCAGCCCGACCAGCCAAGCCACUCUGUCAACUCAGGAUGAAGGAGCGAGAGAUCACAUAGCAAUACUGGAGAAUGGAGUCCUGGACUUUACCCAGCCGCAGAACUGCUAACAGAACUCUGACUCUGGCCAUUUUUCCCUCAAGUUUCCUUUUCCCAGAUCCUCUUUCUGAUCCACCAUUUCUCUAGGAAUUAUAAGAGGUCAGUGGUCAGCAACCACAAUGACAAAUGCCACUACUUCAUUGCCAGUAAUAAUCAAGAGUUGAUCCUACCCUUCAUAAGUCAAAAAUAUGUAUAUGAGGGUAAGAAGGAGGAGGAAGAGGAAGAAGGAGGAGGAAGAAGAGGAGAAGGAGGAAGAAGGAGAAGGAGGAGGAGGAAAAGGAAGAAGAAGGAGGAAGAGAAGGAGGAGGAGAAGGAGGAGGAGGGGGAGGAGGAAGAGGAGAAGGAAGAGGGGGAGGAGGAAGAGGAGGAGUAGAAACCAGAACAGCUACUAACCAGUCUCUCCUUCCCCAAGUCUGUAUCAUAUUGCCAUCCUGCACCCUUCCCCCCCAUCAAUUCAUUCAGUUCAUCUUUGAACCUCAGAAAAGAGAAUCCUGGCCUCCCCAGCUCCUGACUUCACUAUCUCCUUCUAAUCUCAAAGGAGACUGGUCAAUGCUCCAUUAGAAAAAAAAAAAAUCCCAUCCCAGGCUGUGACACAAAUGAAACCCUUUUCAGCAGGUGUAAGAAAGACACACAGAACCCACUGACACAUUAGUCCAAUUUGCUUCUGAUCCCAGGCUCUAACCACGAGACCCCUAGUGCCUCAAUUCUUGCUCUCUUUCUGAGGGCAAAGUCCCCAGUCCCUAUUCCAGGAACUAGGUCCCCAUUUUCAUCCUCUUGUCUGGAUCUCCUAUGAGUUUUUAGCAGCCUUAAUCACACUAAAUAGCAUUUGAUUUCAGCAUCUUCCUUUCUUCAUCACCCAACAUAAAAUAAAAAUGCUACAUUGUAAAACAAAGUUCUGGAUUGGUAAAAUGCCUUCUGUCUUUCCAUUUGUUAAUAAAUAUGUGUGACCUGUGUCCUUGCUUUGCUGAGGCCCAGACUAGAGCCCAGCCUCACCAAAUCCCACUCUCUCAUGUGUAGUCUUAUUUUUAAAUGCCAGAAACAAUGCCAAGCAUUGUGACAGUGACAGCAUGUGUCCCUUGUGACCACUGUCCUGUCACAGAGACCUGGCUACUCCUUACAUCUGCUUUCCUUUUUGGUACACAGUUGUGAGAAGGUGGCCCCAGGAAAGGAUCCCAUUGUAAGGAUCAACUGUAAGUGUGAGCAGCAGCAGCCACAUAAUUGGUCCUCCCUUAUAGAGCAUGUACAAGACUUCCAUGUAUCUUUCAGGUCAAAUUUUAAAGAAACAGGGGCACAUUUUCUGUGUUCUCUUCCCCCAUCAUCUGGAUGUCUACGAUGAUGAAUGAAGACAAUAAUGGAUGAAGAUGAUGAUGAUGAGGUUUAAGGAAUAGGGAGCCAUAGAUGGAGAGAGUCUUUGGUAUCUAAGUCAUCAUGUGUAUGAAACUUCCUGCUGAAGAGGAAGUCACUUUUCUCUAGGUUGUGAAUGAAAUGGGAGUGUCUAUUGUGCCAGGACAUUUGCUGUGGUGUAAUGCUACCCUUACAUUGUCCAAACUGUCCCUGUCACCUGCUCAGAAACUCCUCUUUGCUCUACUCCACAGUAAUGGUGUCCCAGAUGGUAUAUCACCUUUGUAAGCAAAGCAAAUUUGUCCCCAAAGAGUGUUUGCCCUUGAGUAAAUCACUUAUAGAUGCAGUUUAUUUUAAUAUAUAGUGUCAGUGCAAUGGUACUAAACAGGAAACAAGAUAAAGUACAUAAAAGGCCUUUCAAAAUGCCCACACGAUAGACUCUGGGUUGGAAGAAUCUCUCUUCCUGGUUCCAAUGUGCUUUUUUCCAGGCUCAUUCAGCACGUUUCCCCAGUCCUAGACCCCGGCCCUAGUAUCCACUACUCAGCAGGUAUCUUCUUCAGCCCCAUAGCUUUUUCCAGCACUCAGCUGCAGUGGACUUUGUUCCCACACAGAUCAUAGCCAGUAGUGUGCGGAACACACACGUCUUCUUUCCACAGCCUCCUUCAGCUGGCUUCCGAGGGGAGUGCUGACAUCCCCCCACUAAACCUCUCCAGACACUAGAGAUAUUAUUUCCCAAUGAGACUUAUGGUCUAGGCACCCUAUGCUGAUCCCAGAGCCUCUAGUUUGUCUUUGCAGUGGUACCACAGCAAUUAAAAAAAACAAAAAAAGAACAUCCAAUGGCCCCUGGGAGGUCUACAUGUCAUCUUUAUAAGGAAGACUGUCCCUUCCUGGAGCACCUCACCUCAGCUCUAGGGACAGUCUUGGCUAGGUAUAUCUAUUAUUAUCCAAUAGUAUAUUGCUGUAAUUGAAUUUUUACCUUUAAAAUUACUUUAUGUUUUCUGCAUUCUGAUAGACUCAGAUAGAUAGGAAAUUGGUUCUGGAAGCAAUCCAAAGGGGCAUGGUUUGGGGAUUCAUGUGGUCAUGUUUUGGGAGUUUUAGUGCAGCAUUGAUCUCCUUUCCAAGGGAAAUGGGAUGCUAGCAAGCCAUUUACAGUCAAGAUAACACCUAUAGCUGGUUGGGCUAGAGGGCCAAUUGAAACAAAUCAGAUGCUGCUGUAUUUGGCUAUACAGAUUGUGAAGGCUGUAGUAUGGGAUCACUUUCAGUAUGCUUGAAGACCUACAGAAAGCAAACAAGCUCAGAUUCUUCAAGUCCUAGCUAAAGCCUUCUCGACAUUAUCAUUGUAGCCAUAGGUCUAAUAGUGCUGAAAGUCAGAUAAACAGUCCCAUUGCUCAGGUCACUGAGUUGUAGCAUGAACUCAGCUCACUGAGUGUUUCCUACAAAGGUCCUGUCUUUCCUUUAUCCUUGCUCGCUCCCCACCACGUACAGCGUGAACUACCAACAGAUAAUUUACCAGGUCCUGUUAGAAAUAUGAUGUCUCAGAAUUCCAUGCUUCACCUUGUAAUAAUUUUUGAAAGAAAUGAUAGCAGAAUCACUUCUUACUUUUAUGCAGCUAUGUAAUUAAAUACGGUGGGCAACUACAUGCUUCCUGUUCUGAUUCAGAAACCAUCCACAGACACAGUGGUUCUGUGCACAAAUGUUCUUCUUGCAGAGGUGACUAGCCCUUCUAUGGGUCUCUCAGGGUUCAACAUUAUCUCCCUCUCUCAAGACCUGCCCUCACUCAUGGGUCACUAUAUCUCUUCCUUCCAAUGGGGACUGCUCCUUUUUCUGAUCUCUAAAAUAUAACCAACUCCUGGUUCUUUUUCAGGAUCAAUGAGUAUAAAGAUUAACCAUGGGGGAAAAAAAAUCUAUACUUAGUAGGUUCAUGAAAAGACGGUAACAGUUUAAAUUCACAAAACCACAUUUUAGAAGAAGCCAACUAUCCACAGAAGGUUCAGGGCUACUCCUAACCCCAGCCAGUUGUAAACCCAUCAUCUGCUGGAUCUCCAUCUUUCCAUCUGAGGGAAAAAAGAAAGUUCAGCCAUUGGAAUUCUGGGAGUUCUUGUCUGUGAUAAACUCGAAUCUAUGCUAAUCUCUUUUUUUUUAACUGUUGUGGUAGCUGGGAGAGGUAGUAUCUGGCUUAGCUUUCUCCAGUUUUGUGUUAUGUAAAGAGAAAGAGGAAGCUACACCGUGAGAGGAAAAUCUCACUCUUUCUUAGAGAAUUCCAGGAGUUUUUGAUUCAGUGCAGGGACGUUGAGAGUGUAGCCUUGCAAAGAUUGAGGGGGAGCACAUGAAGAAUGGGUAAGAAAAUCCACAGAAGGAGCUGACACUAAGAAGGUGGGUAAUUUAACUUUAGAGCUCUGUGGCUUGACUGUGAUGCAUGUGACCUGGGGUGUGGGACACUGAGGAAUGACAGCCUGAUGAGGUGGCCUGACAGAGAAAAGCUGAGUGAUUGCAGCAGGGUGGGGUAGAGGCUGCUAGCAAAAACACAAUCACACUGGGGCUGCACUUUAUCACCUAGACCAUCUGCUGGACGGUUUAGAAAGCAGAGGACCAUUUGCUAAGUGACAAGCUGAUGUCACUUUAUUCUAAUGUUUAACAAAGGAAGAACUCCGCCAAGCAGCACACAAUAACAACAGACUAUUUUGUCACUUUACAUCAAGCAAUUUGUGUGAUGUUUUGAGUCCCUUAAGUAUUAUCUUUGCAUUAUGUUUAUACUUUGAUAGCAUCUGUAGAACAGGAAAUGUGUCCCUUAAUAUUGGAUGUCAUUUUGAGGAAAUUGUUUUUCAUUAAACCUACUGUAGACACUGUUUUGCCUGGAUUUGUUUUAGCUGCCACGGGGAUUCUUUGUAAGUCUUUCCAUCUCUCCUGUUCUUCCCUCUCAUGCAUGUUAACACAGACACCUGAUGCACACAGGUUAUCUCAUGAUGCUGGCCAUGGCUUCGACAUCACAUUGAAGCUGGACCACGCGGAGCUCUAGACACACGGUCUACACAUCUAAAAGCAGAAGUAAGUGCUUAGGAAUCCCACAGCAUGUCUUUAUGUUUGUGUUAGAGAGCUAUGUGCAUACACUCAUCUAGAGGGUGGUGCUUUAAGAGAAAAUAGCUGCUUCUUAGUGCUCUGGUUGACAUCUCUGUAGACUACACACACUGACACAUACACAAAUGAUGUUUCCUUUUGGGGUGUGCUUUAGCUACACUUUCUCUACAAGUCACCAUUGUCUUUGUUUCUGGGACAUCUACAUGUGAUGUGCAACUCCAGAUUUACAAGUGAUUUGAGCAUAAAAAUGGUAUUUUUUAAAAACUGUGUUUGUCGGGGCAGGUGCACAUACCACAGAAUAGGUGUAGAUGUCCAAGAACAAUUUAAAGGCAUUAAUU